rnacentral:rRNA from 1 species
CCCUUAGAUGUUCUGGGCCGCACACGCGCUACACUGAAGGAGGCAGCGUGUACUCCUGGAUCGAAAGAUUUGGGUAACCCGCGAAUCUCCUUCGUGCUAGGGAUUGAGGUUUGCAAUUAUCCUUCAUGAACGAGGAAUUCCCAGUAAGUGCAAGUCAUAAGCUUGCGCUGACUACGUCCCUGCCCUUUGUACACACCGCCCGUCGCUACUACCGAUUGAAUGAUUUAGUGAGGACUUCGGUCUGGGACCGAUGCGGCUUUCGGGCUGCGUCGGUAUUCUGGAAAGAUGUCCAAACUGUAUCAUUUAGAGGAAGUAAAAGUCGUAACA